GUGUUGUAUGAAAGGAGAGAAGUUUAGCACUCCCCUAGACAAGGAUGGAUUACACAUGUACUGGUAGGCACUGUCGUCAGUUGACGGCACUUACCACACAUUUUUU